rnacentral:rRNA from 1 species
AACGAACGCUGGCGGCAUGCCUAACACAUGCAAGUCGAACGAGACCUUCGGGUCUAGUGGCGCACGGGUGCGUAACGCGUGGGAACCUGCCCUUAGGUUCGGAAUAACUCCCCGAAAGGGGUGCUAAUACCGGAUAAUGUCUUCGGACCAAAGAUUUAUCGCCUUUGGAUGGGCCCGCGUUGGAUUAGCUAGUUGGUAGGGUAAAAGCCUACCAAGGCGACGAUCCAUAGCUGGUCUGAGAGGAUGAUCAGCCACACUGGGACUGAGACACGGCCCAGACUCCUACGGGAGGCAGCAGUGGGGAAUAUUGGACAAUGGGCGAAAGCCUGAUCCAGCCAUUCCGCGGGAGUGAAGAAGGCCUUAGGGUUGUAAAGCUCUUUUACCCGGGAUGAUAAUGACAGUACCGGGAGAAUAAGCUCCGGCUAACUCCGUG